UAGGGAAUAUUGGGCAAUGGAGGGAACUCUGACCCAGCCAUGCCGCGUGCAGGAUGAAGGCGUUAUGCGUUGUAAACUGCUUUUAUAUAGGAAGAAAUAGUCCUUGCGAGGAAAGUUGACGGUACUAUAUGAAUAAGCACCGGCUAACUCCGUGCCAGCAGCCGCGGUAAUACGGAGGGUGCAAGCGUUGUCCGGAUUUAUGGGUUUAAAGGGUGCGUAGGCGGUUUAUAAGUCAGUGGUGAAAGACGGUCGCUCAACGAUUGCAGUGCCAUCGAUACUGGUAGACUUGAGUAUGAUUGAGGUAGCUGGAAUGGAUAGUGUAGCGGUGAAAUGCAUAGAUAUUAUCCAGAACACCAAUUGCGUAGGCAAGUUACUAAGUCAUAACUGACGCUGAGGCACGAAAGUGUGGGUAUCAAACAGGAUUAGAUACCCGAGUAGUCCCUGAGCGGGCUGGCAAGGCGCAU
rnacentral:rRNA from 1 species